UAGUCCACGCCGUAAACGAUGUGUGCUAGACGUCGGGCAGCAUGCUGUUCGGUGUCGCAGUUAACGCAUUAAGCACACCGCCUGGGGAGUACGGUCGCAAGAUUAAAACUCAAAGGGAAUUGACGGGGGCCCGCACAAGCGGUGGAGCAUGUGGUUUAAUUCGAUGCAACGCGAAGAACCUUACCAGCCCUUGACAUCCCGGUCGCGGUUUCCAGAGAUGGAUUCCGUUCAGUUCGGCUGGACCGGUGACAGGUGCUGCAUGGCUGUCGUCAGCUCGUGUCGUGAGAUGUUGGGUUAAGUCCCGCAACGAGCGCAACCCUCAUCUUCAGUUGCCAUCAGUUCGGCUGGGCACUCUGAGAACUGCCGGUGACAAGCCGGAGGAAGGCGGGGAUGACGUCAAGUCCUCAUGGCCCUUAUGGGCUGGGCUACACACGUGCUACAAUGGCGGCGACAGUGGGAAGCAAGACCGCGAGGUGGAGCUAAUCCCCAAAGCCGU
rnacentral:rRNA from 1 species